ACGUAAAUAUAUUAGUGUUAAAAGUCUGUAUAAAGCUCAAUAAACUCUAUGGACAAUUGACCAAAUUAUCGGAAGGGGGAGAUGCAAACUUGCUAUCCUUGUAAGGUUGCAGCUUGUGAUGGCAUAAAGAUGGACCUGAAGGUGGCACUGGUCCUCUUGGCAGUUGGGCACCAUAUAAAGUUUGGAAAUCCUUGUCAACAUCCUUCACUGAUCUUAUGCUUUCUCCUGUUGGUACAUUUGUUGCAGAUACUAUUAGAAGAAUCA
rnacentral:lncRNA from 1 species